GUCUAUGGCCAGACCACCCUGAAGGCACCCCAUCUCGUCUGAUCUCAGAAGCUAAGCAGGGUCAGGCCUGGUCAGAACUUGGAUGGCAAAAGCA
rnacentral:rRNA from 1 species